rnacentral:rRNA from 1 species
UACGGAGGGAGCUAGCGUUGUUCGGAAUUACUGGGCGUAAAGCGCGCGUAGGCGGCUUUGUAAGUUAGAGGUGAAAGCCCGGGGCUCAACUCCGGAAUUGCCUUUAAAACUGCAUCGCUAGAAUUGUGGAGAGGUAAGUGGAAUUCCGAGUGUAGAGGUGAAAUUCGUAGAUAUUCGGAAGAACACCAGUGGCGAAAGCGGCUCACUGGACCACAACUGACGCUGAGGCGCGAAAGCUAGGGGAGCAAACAGG